CAGCUAUCGAGAGAUGUACCUCCAUUUGUAGUUGUUUCUGAGUAGCCUUCAGGAGACUUGAAUAAAAGAAAACUUCCAUGUUUGUCUGUUCGUCUGUGAGAUGGGGCCCUCCGAACAGAGACUUUCUUCCUGUCUGAAGCAUCUAAUGUUUCUUAGAUCCGGAGCCGUCGUCAAGAGCAUCAGGAAGAGAGAGAAGGUUCCCCGGGCUCACAGAAGAGAAGUAGGUGAAGACCCGAGGAUGAACCAUUGUGGAAGCGAGCACCUUACUUGCCCAAGACCUCAGAUCACACAUCCUCUAAGCUGAAGGCGGUUUUGAAAGAUACAGUCCUCCGGGGGCAUACAGGUCAAAAGAUGCAAUUCGCCAAGAACAAUCGUGGACCAAGUUCUUUGAACGCGUGAACCAAAAGGAACCGUCCCUCCCUGGUUUCCAUCAGAUGUAAAAAUCUUCAGGCCCCUUCCCCUUCUGGCAUCUUUGCUUCUCUACUGUACAGAGGACGACUCUCGAGGGCUGGGACGAAGUGAGUCUUUGCAAGGCAUCGUUCCUUUCUCCACAGCGGCAUGGAGGGAGGAAAACUCACUUGUUCUCUCUGAAGUGUAGGAUGACAGCAGGGUCACUUGUCAUCUUUGGCCAAGUGAGUCAAACAGCAGGAACAUGGAGAGUGGAGUCUGGCUUGGCCGUCUGGUCGCUGAUUGCUGCCCGGGUCCUGCUCAGCUGGCUUCACAGAGCUAGCUGCUGGCAGAGCCAGGCCAGGCCUGGUGCAUUUUCCCAAAGGAGAUUGUGAUGGACAUGUAAAAGAUGGCCCAUUGGGAUUUCCAGUACCAUCGCCCAGGGGCCUUGAGGACUCCUUCAAUCCCACUGCCCUGCACUCCUGGUAGGAGUCUACUUGGAUCUCCCUGCUACGACUUCCCUCCUGUUCCCAUGCCUUGUGGGCACAAUGAAAUCUCGUCUAGCCGAGAGAGGGACUGCUCUCCUUUAUUUUCUCACAUCUCCUGUUCUGUGACAUCGCGGCUAUUCCAUCUUUCCCCCGGGGACAACAAGGAUGGUGCCUAAAGGCCACAAAACAUUCAGGGUAUCCACGAAAACGCUUCAAGUCCUUUUCAAUCAAGAAGAAAAAGAAAUGAACUUUCAGGUUGAAGGAAAUGUGAUCGCUAACAGGACAGUCGUCUGUAUACCAGCAUAGCCAUCACUAGAUUAUUUAUGUAUUUACUUUCGUGAAGGGCAGGGACCGGCAAACAAAACCACCCAGUGUCUCUGAAGGUCUUAAUGCCCACCCCCCCCCCAUCCCCGCUGUCAGUGUUGGGGCUGGGUUCGGCUGAGAAAGUUUUCUUUCACUGGGUUCAAGGUGAAGGACAUAGGCUCGCUAGGUUUCUGAUAACUGGCUAAACAGUCACCUCAGUUUGUCGAGGAGAUUUGCUCCAGUGUAUUUAUGCAUGUCAGUGUAGCCCGAGUCCCCCUGGAUGUCCUUCCAGAAGGAGGCCUGUGCUUUCAUCCAUUCUAGACAGGCUUUCUCUGUGUAGCCCUGGCUGUCCUUGAACUCACUCUGUAGACCAGGCUGGCCUCGAACUCAAAGAUCUGCCUGUUUCUGCCUCUCGAGUGUCGGGUAUUAAAGGCGUGUGCCACCACCGCCUUCACUUUCCUAGUCUAAGAUGUAGGAAACGUGAGGUUAGAAAAGCAGUGGUCUGUUUCCUUCCUCCUGUGAACCAAGAGGCUGAAAGGACUUCGUGUUCAUCACCCACACGAUGGGCUUGGAGAUAAAGGCUAUUCAAGUUCAAACUGAACAAAAGCUCAAGUGCGCAUGUCCGAGUGAGGCCUCCGGGGUUACGCGGCACCUGCCUUCUGCUUCCGGUUUUCUAGUCUUUCAUCUCAACACGGGGGUUCUGAACUUGCUGCAAAGAGCUUCGAUAGUGGACAUAGGGAGGGGAGUGGGCGAGUAACAGGCUCAUGUUAUGGGGAGUAGCUUGACUCCAGGUACCUAGAACUGCCGUUGCCCCUUGGGACAGUUACAGUUGCUAGAAUUUCAGAUUUUGCAUCACUCGCCGCUCUGUAGCCAAGAUGGAGCUUCUUGCCACGUUAAAUCUCUGUAAUAUCCAUUUGCUGAGGGCUGUGUUCUAGCAGCUAGAUAAUUUGUAGCCGGAAAGCCUUCAUCUGGUGAGAGAUACCGAUGUCCCAGGAUGCCCAUGUGGCCUCAUUAUACGGAGACUGACACCUGGGCCCUGUUUGUCUGUCUGCACUAUCUACGUGGUAAAGAUUUAGUGACCACCCAGACCUCCCUAUGGCAUUUGAAAUUCACAGGAUGCAACCAAAAGUUGCAAAGCUGAAACAUCGUGAUGGCGGGGCCUGCGAAGAAAGGUAUGAUGGGAAACUUCCUGAGCAACACAGAGAGAGGUCCAAUGACUCAUGCAUUGCCAAUGGGUGCGACACAUUAGGACUUUCAGGGGCACUGGGUGGGGUUGCCAUGAUGGUCCUGAUUCCCAUAAAAGUAAGUAUAUAUAAAAAUUACACGUUAUGGAUAUUUGACAAACAAAUAUCAUUGUUACCUAUCACAUUUCCUUUGUCUUGAAAAAUGCACAGUUUUCUUCAAUUUUGAAAAGUAAACAUUUUCAUGGGUUCUCCAAAAGUUAAAUGGGAUGUUGACCACAUUAUCCCCGAUGUGUUAAGCUGGCCAUAUAGCAACAAGAAAAUGUCUGUAUCCUCAAGAUGACCUUGGGAAACCAAAUGGUUAUGAACAGGAGUUAUUUUAUUACUCUAAGUGGGUCGUGUUACAUGUUAUAAGUUACAAAUAGGUGUGGCCCAGAAAGCGAGAGAGCUUAAUUCUGCAGACAAAUCCACAUGCCAGUGUCUCACGGUUAGCAAUAGCUUGUCUGUAAAGACUGUGGAAUUCUAAAGCAAAACUUACAAGGUUGGUUUCAGAGACCAAGACCAGAGAUUUUAUAAACAUCGAGGUGCUGUGGCCUUUGGUCAGGAUCCUGCUUUCAGUUAACCACAACCUUGUGCAAAAGUCUUUCUUAGGCAAGAAAGACUUGUUUCGUUCUGUGCUGUGACUUCCUUCUCUCUCCAAGAUGGGAUGGCAGGAGUCCUAUGGAGACCGUGGAAGGAAUUGUGUUUGCAAAGCCCUCUGUGCGAUGCCUGCGAUACUGUAUGUUUUCAGUGCUAGUUGCUAUAAUUGCUAUUAUAAUUGCUAUAAUUAUCACUAUGAAGUUAUCUCAUUCGACAGAUAGAGAAACUCAGGAUUCUCCAUCAUUUUGCUAGGCAGUCAUUUUGCUAAGUUCAGACAGGUAGCUAAGGGAGGAAAAAAAAGACGUCAGAGGUUAGAAUUAAGCAAUCAUUAGUGAAGAGAAGGAGUGGGAGGGAACUAGAAGGUUCAAAGAGAAUUGAAACAUAGUAGUCUUUUUUAUCCUGCUCCGUGUGCUGGGUAUGAACUAUGUCCUUUCCAGAAUGUCCACACUUUAUCAGCUACCUUCCUCUGGUGGCUUGGCUAUCUCAGAAGCUAUGGUCAACUGCUGCUCAGUGUUCCAGGAAGCCUUCGGUAGCAGCCUAAUGUGUUGUUACAAUGCUUAUGUAAACAUCUUAUCAUCUCACAAGGAUUACUAUA